GUCAUUCGUCUUCUGUUGUGAGUCUUUGUGUGUUAGUUCCUUCCAGUCGGAGGCGUGGCUCUUCAGGCUUAACCAGGCACACCUGAAAUCCAUUCACAAUCAAGCACAGUACAAGAAACGCAGCUCUUCUCUCACUCACUGCCAGAUUGUUUUCCCAUUCGCAUGUGCACCUGUUGAAGCUGAGCCUGCCUGGAAGCUGAUCUACUGCCGUUACCUGCCACAAAUCCCACACCACCUGAAGUCUGCUCACGUCAAGAUUGUCAGUUCAUCACCUUUUCCCCUCCCUGUCGUGCAAGAAUAGAGCUGAAAUAAAUUGCUUAGAACUAUA